rnacentral:lncRNA from 1 species
AGCCUACGGAUUCUGAUAUAGUAAUAUCAAUUAUUCUGUUAUUUCUAAUUGUUAUUGGUUAUUUACGUCAGUACUUGGUUAAUUAUCUGAAUAAAUGUUAAACUCAAUUAUUACCUCCAUACGUAAAAAACCUAAAACCCAAUGAAAAUCCUAAGCAUUAGAUCCAAAGGGUAAAUUCUUAUCCCAAAUAAUAUACCCACAAGUCUAAACCCAAAAAAUAAACAUGAAACACUGAACCCAGAAUAAAUCGUGAACCCAAACUCAUAAGAUAAACUCUAACCCUUAAAUCCUAAACCCUAAGGAAAAACACUAAA